GUCUACGACCAUACCACCCUGAACGUGCCUGAUCUCGUCUUAUCUCGGAAGCUAAGCAGGAUCCUGCCUGGUUAGUAUUUGGAUGGAAGAAAAUAUGUAUAGUAGAUG
ensembl:rRNA 5S_rRNA 5S ribosomal RNA